CGGAUGUGCGCGAAAGCGCACGUGGUAGGGGAGCGUUCUGUAGGCUGAUGAAGGUGCAUUGAGAAGUGUGCUGGAGGUAUCAGAAGUGCGAAUGCUGACAUGAGUAACGAUAAUGUGGGUGAAAAGCCCACACGCCGGAAGUCCCAGGUUUCCUGCACGACGUUAAUCGGAGCAGGGUGAGUCGGCCCCUAAGGCGAGGCUGAAGAGCGUAGUCGAUGGGAACCAGGUUAAUAUUCCUGGACUUUUUAUAAGUGGUGAAGUGGGGACGAAGAAGGCUAGGUGAGCCAGGCGUUGGUUGUCCUGGUACUUGCAUGUAGGGGGGAAGACUUGGCAAAUCCGGUUUUCCAUAACUCUGAGGUGCGAAGUGGUUCUGACCUUUUGGUACAGAGAAGUCAUUGAUGCCCGGCUUCCAGGAAAAGCUGCUAGCCAUAACUUAUAGAGAACCGUACCGCAAACCGACACAGGUGGACAGGUAGAGAAUACUAAGGCGCUUGAGAGAACUCGGGUGAAGGAACUAGGCAAAAUGGUACCGUAACUUCGGGAGAAGGUACGCCCUUUUGGGUGAGGGCAUUUACUGUCUGAGCUUAAGAGGGCCGCAGAGACCAGGUGGCUGCGACUGUUUAUUAAAAACACAGCACUCUGCAAAUUCGUAAGAAGACGUAUAGGGUGUGACGCCUGCCCGGUGCCGGAAGGUUAAUUGAUGGGGUUAUCUUCGGAGAAGCUCUUGAUCGAAGCCCCGGUAAACGGCGGCCGUAACUAUAACGGUCCUAAGGUAGCGAAAUUCCUUGUCGGGUAAGUUCCGACCUGCACGAAUGGCGUAACGAUGGCCACACUGUCUCCACCCGAGACUCAGUGAAAUUGAAAUCGCUGUGAAGAUGCAGUGUACCCGCGGCUAGACGGAAAGACCCCGUGAACCUUUACUAUAGUUUUGCACUGGACUUUGAUGAUGACUGUGUAGGAUAGGUGGGAGGCUGUGAAGUGAGGACGCUAGUUCUCAUGGAGCCGCCCUUGAAAUACCACCCUGUUGUUAUUGAGGUUCUAACUUGGUCCAGUAAUCCUGGAUGAGGACAGUGUAUGAUGGGUAGUUUGACUGGGGCGGUCUCCUCCCAAAGAGUAACGGAGGAGCACAAAGGUACCCUCGGUACGGUCGGACAUCGUACCAAGAGUGUAAAGGCAAAAGGGUGCUUGACUGCGAGAGUGACGGCUCGAGCAGGAACGAAAGUUGGUCUUAGUGAUCCGGUGGUUCUGAAUGGAAGGGCCAUCGCUCAACGGAUAAAAGGUACUCCGGGGAUAACAGGCUGAUACCGCCCAAGAGUUCAUAUCGACGGCGGUGUUUGGCACCUCGAUGUCGGCUCAUCACAUCCUGGGGCUGAAGCAGGUCCCAAGGGUAUGGCUGUUCGCCAUUUAAAGUGGUACGCGAGCUGGGUUUAGAACGUCGUGAGACAGUUCGGUCCCUAUCUGCCGUGGGCGUAGGAAAAUUGAGAGGAGCUGCUCCUAGUACGAGAGGACCGGAGUGGACGAACCUCUGGUGCACCGGUUGUCACGCCAGUGGCAUGGCCGGGUAGCUAAGUUCGGACGGGAUAACCGCUGAAAGCAUCUAAGCGGGAAGCCUCCCUCAAGAUGAGUUUUCCCAUGAAGCCCGUUGAAGACUACGACGUUGAUAGGCAAGGUGUGGAAGCGCAGUAAUGCGUGAAGCUAACUUGUACUAAUUGGCUGAUUGUCUUGACCAUAUAAUCUGAG
rnacentral:rRNA from 1 species